rnacentral:rRNA from 1 species
UUAACUGGGCGUUAAGUUGCAGGGUAUAGACCCGAAACCCGGUGAUCUAGCCAUGGGCAGGUUGAAGGUUGGGUAACACUAACUGGAGGACCGAACCGACUAAUGUUGAAAAAUUAGCGGAUGACUUGUGGCUGGGGGUGAAAGGCCAAUCAAACCGGGAGAUAGCUGGUUCUCCCCGAAAGCUAUUUAGGUAGCGCCUCGUGAAUUCAUCUCCGGGGGUAGAGCACUGUUUCGGCAAGGGGGUCAUCCCGACUUACCAACCCGAUGCAAACUGCGAAUACCGGAGAAUGUUAUCACGGGAGACACACGGCGGGUGCUAACGUCCGUCGUGAAGAGGGAAACAACCCAGACCGCCAGCUAAGGUCCCAAAGUCAUGGUUAAGUGGGAAACGAUGUGGGAAGGCCCAGACAGCCAGGAUGUUGGCUUAGAAGCAGCCAUCAUUUAAAGAAAGCGUAAUAGCUCACUGGUCGAGUCGGCCUGCGCGGAAGAUGUAACGGGGCUAAACCAUGCAC